rfam:Picea glauca, whole genome shotgun sequence.
AUGUACAUUCCUACGACGUAAUGUUAAUGCAUUGAAUCCCAUUAGAACUCCACAAUUAAGCAUGCUCAGGAUAGAGUAGUACUGGGAUGGGUGAUCAUCAGGGAAAUCCCAGUGUUUUACAUG